ACUGCACGUUUGGGCUUCCUUCUCCUUCCCAGCAACCCUCAAUUUUGCUGGCAAGACUAGGCAGUCUACACGUGCAGU
rfam:Caenorhabditis japonica strain DF5081 Contig18213.2, whole genome shotgun sequence.